rnacentral:rRNA from 1 species
AUUGAACGCUGGCGGCAUGCCUUACACAUGCAAGUCGAACGGCAGCACGGGUGCUUGCACCUGGUGGCGAGUGGCGAACGGGUGAGUAAUACAUCGGAACAUGUCCUGUAGUGGGGGAUAGCCCGGCGAAAGCCGGAUUAAUACCGCAUACGAUCUACGGAUGAAAGCGGGGGACCUUCGGGCCUCGCGCUAUAGGGUUGGCCGCUAGCUGAUUAGCUAGUUGGUGGGGUAAAGGCCUACCAAGGCGACGAUCAGUAGCUGGUCUGAGAGGACGACCAGCCACACUGGGACUGAGACACGGCCCAGACUCCUACGGGAGGCAGCAGUGGGGAAUUUUGGACAAUGGGCGAAAGCCUGAUCCAGCAAUGCCGCGUGUGUGAAGAAGGCCUUCGGGUUGUAAAGCACUUUUGUCCGGAAAGAAAUCCUUGGCUCUAAUACAGUCGGGGGAUGACGGUACCGGAAGAAUAAGCACCGGCUAACUACGUG